rnacentral:rRNA from 1 species
AACGAACGCUGGCGGCAUGCCUAACACAUGCAAGUCGAACGAACCCUUCGGGGUGAGUGGCGCACGGGUGCGUAACGCGUGGGAACCUGCCCUUAGGUUCGGAAUAACAGUGAGAAAUCGCUGCUAAUACCGGAUAAUGUCUUCGGACCAAAGAUUUAUCGCCUUUGGAUGGGCCCGCGUUGGAUUAGCUAGUUGGUGGGGUAAAGGCUCACCAAGGCGACGAUCCAUAGCUGGUCUUAGAGGAUGAUCAGCCACACUGGGACUGAGACACGGCCCAGACUCCUACGGGAGGCAGCAGUGGGGAAUCUUAGACAAUGGGCGCAAGCCUGAUCUAGCCAUGCCGCGUGAGCGAUGAAGGCCUUAGGGUUGUAAAGCUCUUUCGUGGGGGAAGAUAAUGACUGUACCCCAAGAAGAAGCCCCGGCUAACUCCGUG